rnacentral:misc_RNA from 1 species
AGGUCAGUUGGUUAUUGAUCUUUCCCAACAAAUCCAACUUGGGUUUUUAUUUUUAUUUUUAUUUUCAAGGCUACAGUGCUAUUACAUGUUUAGCAGUUCAUGUCCAAUUUCUAAUGAGCAUUAUAGGUUUUAGCCUUUCCAACUUCCAUGGUUAGGUUUGCAUAGAAAAGCAAGAAUGCAAGAAACAUUUCAGGGAUUGAAUAAAACCAUCCAGCUAGAGUAAACCAGGUCUCAAUAUAUUCUGCCAUGUAUAGUUUUAUUUUAUUUCCAGUGGUUAAUUUCAUCAAUAUAAUUGAUAUUUUCCUGACAUGCAUCAAGAUUCAUCCCCAAAAAAAAAAAAUCCCAUUUUCUG